UACGUAGGGUGCAAGCGUUAAUCGGAAUUACUGGGCGUAAAGCGUGCGCAGGCGGUUAUGCAAGGCAGAUGUGAAAUCCCCGGGCUCAACCUGGGAACUGCAUUUGUGACUGCAUGGCUAGAGUACGGUAGAGGGGGAUGGAAUUCCGCGUGUAGCAGUGAAAUGCGUAGAUAUGCGGAGGAACACCGAUGGCGAAGGCAAUCCCCUGGACCUGCACUGACGCUCAUGCACGAAAGCGUGGGGAGCAAACAGG
rnacentral:rRNA from 1 species